AUUGAACGCUGGCGGCAUGCCUUACACAUGCAAGUCGAACGGCAGCACGGGAGCUUGCUCCUGGUGGCGAGUGGCGAACGGGUGAGUAAUACAUCGGAACGUACCCAGGAGUGGGGGAUAACGUAGCGAAAGUUACGCUAAUACCGCAUAUUCUGUGAGCAGGAAAGCGGGGGAUCGCAAGACCUCGCGCUCUUUGAGCGGCCGAUGUCGGAUUAGCUAGUUGGUGGGGUAAAAGCUCACCAAGGCGACGAUCCGUAGCAGGUCUGAGAGGAUGAUCUGCCACACUGGGACUGAGACACGGCCCAGACUCCUACGGGAGGCAGCAGUGGGGAAUUUUGGACAAUGGGGGCAACCCUGAUCCAGCCAUGCCGCGUGAGUGAAGAAGGCCUUCGGGUUGUAAAGCUCUUUCGGCGGGGAAGAAAUGGCAACGGCUAAUAUCCGUUGUUGAUGACGGUACCCGCAUAAGAAGCACCGGCUAACUACGUGCCAGCCGCCGCAGUAAAAC
rnacentral:rRNA from 1 species